rnacentral:rRNA from 1 species
UCUAAUACCGGAUACUGAGGUCCGCAGGCAUCUGUGGUUCUCGAAAGCUCCGGCGGUGCAGGAUGAGCCCGCGGCCUAUCAGCUUGUUGGUGAGGUAACGGCUCACCAAGGCGACGACGGG